GACGAACGCUGGCGGCGUGCCUAAUACAUGCAAGUCGAACGAACCGCGACUAAGUGCUUGCACUAAGUCAAGGUGAGUGGCGAACGGGUGAGUAACACGUCGGUAACCUACCUCAUAGUGGGGGAUAACAGUCGGAAACGACUGCUAAUACCGCAUAGGACAUAGGGUCACAUGAUCCAGUGAGGAGAGUUGGCGCAAGCUAUCGCUAAGAGAUGGACCCGCGGUGCAUUAGCUAGUUGGUAGGGUAAAGGCCUACCAAGGCGACGAUCCAUAGCCGGCCUGAGAGGAUGAUCGGCCACAUUGGGACUGAGACACGGCCCAAACUCCUACGGGAGGCAGCAGUAGGGAAUAUUGCGCAAUGGACGCAAGCCUGACGGAGCAACGCCGCGUGAGUGAAGAAGGUCUUCGGGUCGUAAAGCUCUGUUGUUAGGGAAGAACAGCGCAUAGAGUAACUGCUAUGCGUGUGACGGUACCUAACCAGAAAGCCACGGCUAACUACGUG
rnacentral:rRNA from 1 species